CGUCUUGAAGAUGAAGAGAUCAUCUCCUACAUGUUGUGGGGACUCGGUCCUGAGUUUGAUCCCUUGGUGACAAGUAUCACCACCAGCGCUAAGCCGGUCACCAUUAGUGAUGUUUAUGCACAUAUGCUCAGCUAUGAGC